rnacentral:rRNA from 1 species
CCUACGGGUGGCAGCAGUAGGGAAUCUUCCACCAUGGGCGAAAGCCUGAUGGAGCAACGCCGCGUGGGUGAAGAAGGUCUUCGGAUCGUAAAACUCUGUUGUUAGAGAAGAAAGUGCGUGAGAGUAACUGUUCACGUUUCGACGGUAUCUACCCAGAAAGCUACGGCUAACUACGUGCCAGCAGCCGCGGUAAUACGUAGGUGGAAAGCGUACUCCGGAUUUAUUGGGCGUAAAGGGAACGCAGGCGGUCUUUUAAGUCUGAUGUGAAGGCCGUCGGCUUAACCGGAGUAGUGCAUUGGAAACUGGGAGACGUGAGUGCAGAAGAGGAGAGUGGAACGCCAUGUGUAGCGGUGAAAUGCGUAGAUAUAUGAAAGAACACCAGUGGCGAAAGCGGCUCUCUGGUCUGUAACUGACGCUGAGGUUCGAAAGCGUGGGUAGCAAACAGGAUUAGAUACCCUUGUAGUC